rnacentral:rRNA from 1 species
GCCUACGGGAGGCAGCAGUGAGGAAUAUUGGUCAAUGGGCGCGAGCCUGAACCAGCCAAGUCGCGUGAGGGAGGACGGCCCUACGGGUUGUAAACCUCUUUUGCCGGGGAGCAACGGGCGUCACGUGUGGCGCCACUGAGAGUACCCGGAGAAAAAGCAUCGGCUAACUCCGUGCCAGCAGCCGCGGUAAUACGGAGGAUCCGAGCGUUAUCCGGAUUUAUUGGGUUUAAAGGGAGCGUAGGCGGGUUGUUAAGUCAGUUGUGAAAGUUUGCGGCUCAACCGUAAAAUUGCAGUUGAUACUGGCA